rnacentral:rRNA from 1 species
CGCAUCUGUGCAUGCAGCAUAUCAAUAAGCGGAGGAAAAGAAACUAACAAGGAUUCCCCUAGUAACGGCGAGUGAAGCGGGAAGAGCUCAAAUUUGAAAUCUUAAAGGGUUUCCCUUUACGAAUUGUAGUUUAAAGAAGUGUUUUCUGUUGAGGUUUUGGUAAAAGUUCUUUGGAAUAGGACAUCAUAGAGGGUGAGAAUCCCGUAUUUGACCUUUACUUUCAACUUUGUGAUACACCUUCAAAGAGUCGGAUUGUUUGGGAAUGCAGGUCCAAAAUGGGUGGUAAAUUUCAUCUAAAGCUAAAUAUUGGCGAGAGACCGAUAGCGAACAAGUACCGUGAGGGAAAGAUGAAAAGAACUUUGAAAAGAGAGUUAAACAGUACGUGAAAUUGUCAAAAGGGAAGCGUUUGACACCAGUGUUGUUUUUCUGAAAAUCAAUUAAAGAACUGUUUAUGCUAAGUUGUUUAGACUUUAUCAGCUAACUGUUUAGUUUUGAGCUUUUCUUUAAUGACACUUUUCAGUUAACAAGUCAACAUCAAUUUCUUUUGCUGUAAAAAAGCUUGAGGAAGGUGGCUUGAGAUUCGUCUUAAGUGUUUAUAGCCUCUUGCCUAUGCAGUCGGAGAGAUUGAGGUCUGCAGCGUAGAUCCUUCGGGGCUAAAUGCAUUUGUGCUAAGUUAUAGCAUUUUAUAGACAACCUGUUGACUAUGAUUUGUCUUGUAGCUUACUCGCUUAUGUUAUUUUACCUACGCUUAUGAUGUUGAAGAUGUAGCACAUCAU